UUUACUUAGUAGGGAAGCUGUUUCCUGUGUGAGGGCGUGCGAAACCGUUUCAGCAAACGUUCUUUUUGGCAAUGCAUACGUGGCGCGUUUGGUGUCCACAUCACGAAUUCCAUUUAUGAAACAUUGAAUUUUUACCCUCUCAAUGUAAUCCACAGGUGCAUCUGCAUUUGCCAAAUGAGCCAGUCGAUCUAUUUCAGUUGCGAACUCUUGCAAUGACUCGUUCAUUUUCUGACCCCUAUUUUGCAGUUCGAUCUGGUAUAUUUGUUUCCGGUGUUCACUACCAUAUCGUCUUUCUAUCGCACUCAUCAAUGCCUCAUAGUUGUCCCGUUCACAGUCUGGAAUAGUCUGAAGGAUUUCUGCCGCAGGUCCUUUCAAUGAUACAAACAAGGACGCCACUUUGUCCGCUGCAUUCCAAUUAUUGGCCAUUGCUGUCUUUUCAAACUGAAGUUUGAAAAUUUGAAAUGGAAUACUUCCAUCGAAUGUGGGUGCCUUCAAUCUUUGGAUAUUUGUUGAUGGUGCAGGGCCAUGCAGUUGCAGUUCUCGCACACGAUUACUUAAUUGAAGAACUUCUGAUAUUAAAUUUUCUUCGUCAUUUUUUAAAGUGCUUAAUUCGUCUUCAAAUUUUGAAAAUUUCUCUUGCACUUGUGUAUUAUUCUCUGUAAUCUGUUGUGUAAGGCGAGACUCUAACUGUGAUGUAUUUUCAGCUAUUUGCGUCAUUUGCUGUGCCAGACGAUUUUCUGUUUGCACUACAUUUUCUGUUAUUCGUGAUAUAUUUUCAGCUAUUUGCUGUGCCAGACGAUUUUCUGUUUGCACUGCAUUUUCUGCUAUUUGCUGUGCCAGACGAUUUUCUGUUUGCACUGCGUUUUCUGCUAUUUGCCUAAUAGCCACUAAUAACAUGUUAGUGUCUACGCUUGAUGAUGUUCGUUGUUCUUCUAAUUUUUCUUCUACCUUUGUAGAAGUUCCUGGCCCAUCAAAUUCGAACUCGUCUACAUUAAUUCCAUCCGCUUCCAUUGCUUCACGUAGUCGUGCCUGCAGAUCCGCCUUUUGCCCGCUUAUCGGCAAAUUACACUCCUCCAGUUCCUUUUUUAAUUGCUGAAUUCUCAAUUCUCCGAAUUUAACCAUCUUGAAUUUGGAUUAUUUAACAAUCCCACUUCUGACACCAAUUGUUACGAAUUUACUGCUUGCUAGUUUACUUUGUUAGGUUCGUAUCUCUGGAUUGACAAAUAAAAUCAACACUGUUUAAUUUAAUUCAACAACUCUUUAUUUCACAACUCGUCUACACUAUAGCAGUUUACUCUUAGCACUGAUUGAUUACGUUGGCGCUGCCACGGCUUAUAUAGCCACGCACUUCUCGCUGAUGCCGACGUGUCCUUCUAGAAUAUCGCGUCUGGAAAUUACCAGAACAUACGGCUAUACGGCGCCAGACGCAAGCAGACAGUCGCGGCGCCAGACUCAGCAAUUGUUUACCUAGACAAGCAGACAGUGCGGCGCCAGAUGUCUAUUGUUUCGACGAGCAGACAGCCGUGGCGCCAGAUGUCUACAACAAGACAAAUGCUAUUCCAUAUACCUACAGCUAUUGUUCAUAAUCAGGGAUGCAUAUAGUAAUACAAAUAUAACUUAAUACUACUUUUGUAACAAUAUUU